GGGAGCGGCCGGGACCAGGAGCGGGCGGCGCCGGCAGCCGCGGGCGGCGGAGUUCCAGGACUUUCGCAUCAAAACAGGAGAUAUGAAGCACUGUGGCCUGUGAUAUUUAUUUUUGCUGUUUUCACCACUGGAGGAUGGCUGACAGACUCUGUGAAAAUGGUUCUGGACUUUGCACUGUGGGGCGUGCGAUUCACAGAGUACCACAUCUGCCUCUUCACUCAGAUCACUUCUCUGACCUACGGGAUUUUGCCUUACCCAGUGUAUCUUGUGGCUGCUCUGGAUUAUUACACCACCGUCCCCCAAACAUCCCGAUUCCCUAAAACAGGUCGGAAGUUACUUUAUGUAUUUGCUGUGGUGCUUAUAUGGAUUUCCAGGUUUUUUUGCACUCUCCAAGUUCCCGCUGUCUCUGAAGAGCUGGAAAUGCAGAACAGCGUUUCCCCUUCGCAGUGCCCUCUCUCCGGCAGCCUGCAGAGCUACUGGGUGUCGUGUGCCAUGGUGCUGCUGCUGGCCACGGCUCUCCUGGCUCGCUGGAAGGAGGUGACAGCCAUGCUGCUGUCUGCCAGGCUCCUCUCCUUUUCCAGCCAGCCUGUGCUGCUGUUCCCCUACGUGCCUAACAACAACAACACUCGCUUCAAGUGGCAGCUCCUGAGCAGGCUCCUCCUGUGUUUCCUUGGCACUUGGGCGCCGUUUGUUGUUCUCCAGGUGGUGGUUCUGCUCCUGGGUGUGCAGAUCCCAGCCUAUGUGGAGAUGAACGUGCCCUGGCUGUACUUCAUCAACAGCUUUCUCCUGGCAGCAGCCUACUGGUGCCGGUGCCACCAAGUGGAGCUGACAGAGGAAGGGUGGUGCACAGACCCCUUUGUCAGCUGGAAAUUCUGCUUUAUGCCGUUCAACAAUGAAAGCACAGAGCCAGCUGAUAAGCCAGGCCCAGUAAUCGUCAACUGUUAA
rnacentral:lncRNA from 1 species